rnacentral:sRNA from 1 species
CCUUAACAGCAGAUCCCAGGUUUGCUGCUAAGACAGGAAAAUGCUGACCCCUCUUUAGAAGCUGCUUAUGUUCCUGGUGGCGAAAUCGUGGAGGUACUUCUCGAGGAUACCUGAGGAGGCAAGGCCUGUGGCGGCGGCUGCUGCUGCUGCUGCUGCUGCUGCUGCAGUGGUGGUGGUGGCGGCUGCUGCUGCUGCUGCUGCUGCUGCUGUUGCUGCGGCUGCUGCGGCUGCUGCUGUUGCUG